UGGAAUUCAGCCUCGUUUUGCAGCACAGAGAAAUUCUCUCUCUUCAUCCUUGUUAUUCUUUAAGUCGUCUAUUUUCCCUUCAUUUAUUCUUUGAUGAUGUGCUCUGCCUGCUGACGAGUGAAAUGUGAACAGGAAGUGGGAAGGAGCAGGCCUUGUCUCUACUGCCAGUGUGCUUCAUACAUUUGUGAAGAAGCAGACCUGCAUCAUAAAACCAACCAAAAGCCACGGAGUUACCUCUCUAAAAAAUGUAAUGGACUGUACUGAAAGCCUAACUUUGACUGAUGUGAGGUUUGGGACUUCAUCCAGGAAAUGCUGGGAUGACAUAGUCCCUCUGACAAGCAGAGUAUAA
rnacentral:lncRNA from 13 species